rnacentral:rRNA from 1 species
UACGUAGGUGGCAAGCGUUGUCCGGAUUUACUGGGUGUAGAGGGCGUGCAGCCGGGAAGACAAGUCAGAUGUGAAAUCCCGCGGCUCAACCGCGGAACUGCAUUUGAAACUGUUUUUCUUGAGUACCGGAGAGGUCAUCGGAAUUCCUUGUGUAGCGGUGAAAUGCGUAGAUAUAAGGAAGAACACCAGUGGCGAAGGCGGAUGACUGGACGGCAACUGACGGUGAGGCGCGAAAGCGUGGGGAGCAAACAGG